rnacentral:rRNA from 1 species
UACGUAGGGGGCAAGCGUUGUCCGGAAUCAUUGGGCGUAAAGCGCGUGUAGGCGGCCCGAUAAGUCCGCUGUGAAAGUCAAGGGCUCAACCCUUGAAUGCCGGUUGAUACUGUCGGGCUAGAGUCCGGAAGAGGCGAGUGGAAUUCCCGGUGUAGCGGUGAAAUGCGCAGAUAUCGGGAGGAACACCAAUGGCGAAGGCAGCUCGCUGGGACGGUACUGACGCUGAGACGCGAAAGCGUGGGAGCAA